rnacentral:rRNA from 1 species
AGUGAACGCUGGCGGUAGGCCUAACACAUGCAAGUCGAACGGCAGCACAGGAGAGCUUGCUCUCUGGGUGGCGAGUGGCGGACGGGUGAGGAAUACAUCGGAAUCUACUCUGUCGUGAGGGAUAACGUAGGGAAACUUACGCUAAUACCGCAUACGACCUACGGGUGAAAGCAGGGGAUCUUCGGACCUUGCGCGAUUGAAUGAGCCGAUGUCGGAUUAGCUAGUUGGCGGGGUAAAGGCCCACCAAGGCGACGAUCCGUAGCGGGUCUGAGAGGAUGAUCAGCCACACUGGAACUGAGACACGGUCCAGACUCCUACGGGAGGCAGCAGUGGGGAAUAUUGGACAAUGGGCGCAAGCCUGAUCCAGCCAUACCGUGUGGGUGAAGAAGGCCUUCGGGUUGUAAAGCCCUUUUGUUGGGAAAGAAAUCCAGCUGGCUAAUACCCGGUUGGGAUGACGGUACCCAAAGAAUAAGCACCGGCUAACUUCGUGCCAGCCGCCGCCGUAA